CUUAAAUCUUCAGGGCCCCAGAGGAGCCUCUAUCGACUCUUAUUGCCUCAGACACAGAUUAAUACAUUCAGCUCUUCACACACUAACACACAAAAAAGUUUUUGAUGAAAAUGUUCUUGCAUUUAAUAUCUUCCAUGUUCAUGCAGGAUCUUCACCACUUGAGGAAUGCGAGAUUAUGUAAGUAAACGUUUUCAUUUAUUUCGAGCAGUGGUUGAAAACAUAUCAACACAAAAUAGAAAAAAAGAUAAAGACAUUACAUAAUACAUUUUUAAAAAACUAUGAAUAUUUAAAAUGAUUCGGCCUCGCGGUCGGACAAUGGAGGACGUCGCCCUUUAAGGCCGAGGGCGUUUUCACCCCGAGUUCAGCCUGUCAGGUCCGGCUUGUUUUCCGCCUUUGUGUAUUUCCCUCAAAACGGACACUGGUUCUUAAAUUUAAAACGUUACAUUUCGAGGGGUAGUUGAGAUUACGUUGCUGUGGGAGUCUCAGGCUCGAGAGUUUAAACCAUGUGCUAAAACACGACGGAGAUAAUAAAUACACCUUCGCUUCCUGCUUCGGAGAGAGAGGAGGAGGAGGAAGGGGGAGGAGUCGGGCGGCCCCACUCCCGACCGCCGCCGAUCUUCGCCGAACCCUCUUCACUGGCUGUCGUAGCUGCUCUUCCUCCUCCUCCUCCUCGCACACCGACAUCGUCCAUCUCUCCGACACCAUUUCCAUCAUGGUGGACAUUUUGGUGUUGAUGUUUUUCGCCAUCAUGGGCCUCGUCUUCCUCUCCUACAUCAUCUACGUCCUGUGAUGAAGAGGAUGAUGAAGAGGAUGAUGGUGAGGGGCCGCCGCUCAACGAGCGCGCACGGGAUGUGCGUGUGUUGUUUCCCCUCCUCUCUCUCCCGCAUCCCUGGUCUCCAUCACGGACCACGGGCCCAUGAUGGUUGAUGGUUUCCCAUCAUGCUCUCAGGUGGGAUGAGGGGAGUCAGUGAUCCAGCGGAGGAGGGAGGAGGAGGAAGAAGAAGAAGAAGAAGAAGAAGAAGUGGAGAAGAAGAAUUUUUCCUUUUCUAUCUGCCACUUGCACCGUGUCGUCCUCUCCAGCUCUCCUCCGGCGGAUCGGUCCAGUCUGAGGAGGGGUCCCGCAACAAACUGUGUUUUUAUAUUAUAUCUAGCCUCUACCUGCUCGUGUUUCUCUGCAGAGCAGGAGAAAAUGAUAUUUCUGCACAAAGUCCUCCCCAAAAAACAUAAGUAGGUUUGAGUACAGGUGUCGAAUCUGCCUUUUUUUAUAUAUAUAUAUAUAUAUAUAUAUAUAAAAUAACACUGUGAGAUAAUUCUUCAUUCCACUUUAUGCUCAGUUUAACAGUAUUACGACGCCAUCUGUGCUCAUGUGUUUCUUUUCUUUUUUGUUAUGUUUGUGUUUCAUGAAAAGGCCUCGUUUGGCUCAGCCUUGACAUUAAUAUUUUUUUUUAAUUCAUAUGUUGCCAACACGUUCUCCUCCUCCUCCUCCUCCUCCUCCUCCUCGCUGCGAUCGAGAUUUCCCAUCAGGCCGACACGGUGGAGAUGUACAAAUACAAUAACUCAGUGUUUCUUGACGUCAUAUCAGUCGCCCUGCUCUCUUGGUUUUAGCGAUGGUGUCGCUGUUAUUGCAUUUUGUCCUAUUUAUUUUCAUUUCGAUGUGAAUGACAAGCACAAAGAGUCAUUGUCAAAAAGCAUUCUUGCCACCAAACCCCAUAUAAAUUAUGUUAUACAGUAAAUAUAAAUAUAUACAUAUAAUGUUGUGUUCACUGAUGCGCUGGUUAUUGACAGUGUUUCAUGUUAAAUAAAAGACGAUUUCAGUAAACCAA